GAUGAACGCUGGCGGCGUGCCUAAUACAUGCAAGUCGAGCGAACAGACGAGGAGCUUGCUCCUCUGACGUUAGCGGCGGACGGGUGAGUAACACGUGGAUAACCUACCUAUAAGACUGGGAUAACUUCGGGAAACCGGAGCUAAUACCGGAUAAUAUAUUGAACCGCAUGGUUCAAUAGUGAAAGACGGUUUUGCUGUCACUUAUAGAUGGAUCCGCGCCGCAUUAGCUAGUUGGUAAGGUAACGGCUUACCAAGGCGACGAUGCGUAGCCGACCUGAGAGGGUGAUAGGCCACACUGGAACUGAGACACGGUCAAGACUCCUACGGGAGGCAGCAGUAGGGAAUCUUCCGCAAUGGGCGAAAGCCUGACGGAGCAACGCCGCGUGAGUGAUGAAGGUCUUCGGAUCGUAAAACUCUGUUAUUAGGGAAGAACAAAUGUGUAAGUAACUAUGCACGUCUUGACGGUACCUAAUCAGAAAGCCACGGCUAACUACGUG
rnacentral:rRNA from 1 species